rnacentral:rRNA from 1 species
UAAUACAGAGGGUGCGAGCGUUAAUCGGAAUUACUGGGCGUAAAGGGUGCGUAGGUUGUUAUAAAAGUUAGAUGUGAAAGUCCUGGGCUUAACCUGGGGACUGCAUAUAAUACUGUAUAGCUAGAGUACUGUAGAGGGAGGUGGAAUUUCCGGUGUAGCGGUGAAAUGCGUAGAUAUCGGAAGGAACAUCAGUGGCGAAGGCGACUUUCUGGACAGAUACUGACACUGAGGCACGAAAGCGUGGGUAGCAAACAGGAUUAGAUACCCUGGUAGUCCACGCUGUAAACGAUGAGGACUGGCUGUUGUUUGCCGUGAGGCGAUUAGUAGCGAAGCUAACGCGUUAAGUUCUCCGCCUGGGGAGUACGGCCGCAAGGUUA